rnacentral:rRNA from 1 species
AACGAACGCUGGCGGCAUGCCUAACACAUGCAAGUCGAACGGGGAUCCUAGCUUCGGUUAGGUGAGAGUGGCGAACGGGUGAGUAACGCGUGGGAACCUGCCCAGAGGUACGGAAUAACAGUUGGAAACGACUGCUAAUACCGUAUGAGCCCGAGAGGGGAAAGAUUUAUCGCCUUUGGAGGGGCCCGCGUCAGAUUAGGUAGUUGGUAGGGUAAUGGCCUACAAGCCUUCGAUCUGUAGCUGGUCUUAGAGGAUGAUCAGCCACACUGGGACUGAGAUACGGCCCAGACUCCUACGGGAGCAGCAGUGGGAAUAUUGGACAAGUGGGGCAACCCGUGAUCCAGCAAUGCCGCGUGAGUGAUGAAGGCC